ensembl:snRNA U6 U6 spliceosomal RNA
GUGCUCACUUCAGCAGCACAUAUACUAAAAUUGGAAGAAUACAGAGAAGAUUAGCACAACCCCUGCCCAGUGAAUGUAUUUUUUAUAUUUAGCAUAUAUUU